rnacentral:snoRNA from 1 species
AGACCAUGAUGAAGACAGUACCGAAGUAAUUCUUUAUGUCUUUCCCAAGCUUCGUACUACGAUUUAAAAUCUUGCUACAUGAAGGAUGUAAUAUCAUUUCUCAUUUU